GGUUAAAAGCUCUUCUCCCGUCACCGCGUCGCAUGUCUGACAAGGGGCGGAGACAUGCGACAAUUGGCACGGAGAAGCUUGGCAUGGUUCAAAGGCAGUCCAGGUGACGUCCGAAGGACAGACGCUCUCAUCUAAAGGCUCUACUCGGCCACGUGGAGAGUUUUGUUGAAGAAAAAGACGGGAGCAGCAAACAUCUGCCGUCGGUCUUUUGCAGCACAAGGGGGGUGUCUUUCAUUCCAAGAUGGCCGCCAACAUUCCGGGCAUCAUUUCCAUGGUCUUCUUCUACGCACUGGUCCUCGGCAUCGGGAUCUGGGCGUCAGUCAGGUCCAGGAGGUUGAAGCGCAAGCAGAUGAGCGGCAUUCUGGAGAUGUCGUUGCUUGCAAACCGUAACAUCAGCCUGCUGGUGGGGGUCUUCACCAUGACAGCCACGUGGGUCGGAGGCGGCAUAAUCGUGGGUAUCGCCGAGAUGGUGUACACACCCUCCAUGGGCGUGGCCUGGGCUGCCACUCUCAUGCUGGGAUACAGCACAUCCUUUAUUAUUGGCGGGCUGGUGUUUGCUGGGCCGAUGCGCGCCACCAAAUGUGUCACCAUGAUGGAUCCCUUCCAGCGCAAGUACGGCAAAGGCCUGACGGCCGUCUUCAGCUCCAUCUCGAUCUUCCUCGACGUCUUCUGGGUGCCCGGCACCCUCAUUGGCCUGGGCAUGACCAUGAGCGUGGUCCUGGACAUGUCGUUCAGCGUGUGCAUCUGGAUCUCGGCUUGCGUGGCCAUCACGUACACGCUGUUGGGCGGCCUCUACUCGGUGGCCUACACCGACGUCGUCCAGCUGCUCCUCAUCUUCUUCAGCCUGUGGCUGUGCGUUCCGUUCGCGUUGUCCAAUCCUCUCGUGACGCCCAUCGGUUCCACGAUGAUGAACAACACGCUGCACGCGCCCUGGGUCGGCGACUGGAACGUCAGCAACAUAUGGAUCCUCGUGGAUAGCUUCUUCCUGUGGACUUUGGGCAAUCUGGGAUAUCAGCCCUUCCACCAGAGGACGCUGUCCAUGUCGUCCCCGUCCACCGCCAAGCGCGUUUGCUUCAUCUCCGCCGCCGUCUUCAUGGUGUUCUGCAUCCCGCCGAUGCUGCUGGGGGCCGUGGGGGCAUCCACGGACUGGAACGCGACAUCAUACGGUUCUCCGUCCCCUUACGAACGUGACGAGGCGGCGCUGGUUCUUCCCCUGGUGCUGCAGACCCUGACGCCGUCCUACGUCUCCAUCAUGGGCAUCGGCUGCGUCGCCGCCGCCGUCAUGUCGUCGGCCGACUCCGCCCUGCUGUCUGCCGCCUCCAUCUUCACCGCCAACCUCUACAACAGCAUCCUAAGGCCGCAGGCGUCGGAGCGUGAGCUGCAGUUGGCCAUCCGGGCGACGGUGGUGGUGGUGGGCGUGGUCGGGACGGCGCUGACCCGCCUGAAGGCCAGCGUGAUCCUCUUCUGGAUCGCGGGGUCCGAGAUUGCCUACAACGUGAUUUUCCCGCAGCUGCUCUGUGCCGUCUUCUUUCCCGGCACCAACACGUACGGCGCCAUCCUGGGCGGCGUGGCGGGCUUGGCCGUCCGCGUGUUGAGCGGUGAGCCCCUGCUGGGCCUGCCGCCCGUGUUGCGCUUCCCGGGCGGUAUUUGGGACCACCGUGCUGGCGUCUACGUGCAGCACUUCCCCGUCAAAACCUUCGCCAUGCUCUGCUCUCUGGCUUCCAUCUUGUUCUUCUCCUUCCUGGCGUCCCGGAUCUUCCGCCACCGCCUGCUUCCUGCUGCCUGGGACGUUUUGCACGUUUUCCAGAAGCCCACCCCCACCCCCACCCAGGACCCCGCGUGCGUGGAGAACACCCUCGACGCCACCGGGCCCAUGUUGACCACUGGCUGCUGAGUCAGCAGACACUCCAAAUUAAAUUGACUUUAUUGCCAACACACACACACACACACACACACACACACACACACACACACACACAGACACACAAAAUGUAUGAGCUGAUUCAAUACAUAACGGCAAUAGUGGGAACUAAGCCUCUUUCGUUUUUUAUGGUUGGAUUUGGUUUGGUGCUUUGAGGGCAUCACGGUCGGGUGGUCUCCUUGAAAGUGACUUGGAGCGAACCACCCUCAAGGAAUCAACUCGUGCAAAUGACUCCCUCAUCUGUCUUGGUCAGUUCUUUUCGCAAAGGGUGAAGGAAAUAUGCCCGGGAGUAUUUGUCAAAGGAGAGGUGGCACCCAAUUAUUUUUUUGUGGCGCCACAUAUAUCGACAUUUGCGUUGUAUGUGGCGCCACGGUCACGGACGGAGGGGCGUUUCCCUACCUUGUCCGUGUCGGCGCUCUUCCUCUUGCGGUUCGAACGCGUGAUCUUGACGGU